rnacentral:rRNA from 1 species
UACGUAGGGGGCGAGCGUUGUCCGGAAUGACUGGGCGUAAAGGGUGCGUAGGCGGCCCGAGAGGUCCUGGGUGAAAGGCCCCGGCUCAACCGGGGAGGGCCCCAGGAAACCGGCGGGCUAGAGGGCUGGAGAGGGCCGCGGAAUUCCCGGUGUAGCGGUGAAAUGCGUAGAUAUCGGGAAGAACACCAGUGGCGAAGGCGACUCUCUGGGCUGUAACUGACGCUGAGGCGCGAAAGCGUGGGGAGCAAACAGG